CACGUAGGGCGCAAGCGUUGUCCGGAAUACUGGGCGUAAAGCGUGCGCAGGCGGCUUUGCAAGACAGAUGUGAAAUCCCCGGGCUUAACCUGGGAACUGCAUUUGUGACUGCAUGGCUGGAGUGCGGCAGAGGGGGAUGGAAUUCCGCGUGUAGCAGUGAAAUGCGUAGAUAUGCGGAGGAACACCGAUGGCGAAGGCAAUCCCCUGGGCCUGCACUGACGCUGAGGCACGAAGCGUGGGAGCAAACAGG
rnacentral:rRNA from 1 species